UACGUAGGGGGCAAGCGUUGUCCGGAUUUAUUGGGCGUAAAGAGCGUGUAGGCGGCCAGGUAGGUCAGCUGUGAAAACUCGAGGCUCAACCUCGAGACGUCGAUGGAAACCGCACGGCUAGAGUCCGGAAGAGGAGAGUGGAAUUCCUGGUGUAGCGGUGAAAUGCGCAGAUAUCAGGAAGAACACCAGUGGCGAAGGCGGCUCACUGGCCCGGACUACGUGACGUGAGGUGCGAAAGCGUGGGGAGCAAACAGGAUUAGAACCUACCGC
rnacentral:rRNA from 1 species